AGGGUCACUGAUGACCCCCGGUGGCACCUGCAUCGUGGGCGGUGACCAAGUGUCUGGACCUCUGGGGCCCGA